rnacentral:siRNA from 1 species
AGUGAUUGUGUUUGCCUUCGUAUG